rnacentral:ncRNA from 1 species
AACAAACGACAGGGGAGCGCCGACCCGCAGCACGCUGCGGAUCGGGCGCUGAGAGUGCGGACAGCCGCAGACCCUCGAACCUGAUCCGGCUAGUACCGGCGAAGGGAGUCGAGUUCUCAGAGUG